GGGGAUGUGGCUCAGUGCUAGAGCUCCUGCCUUGCAUGCAUAAGGCCCUGGGUUCAAUUCCCAGCACCA
rnacentral:tRNA from 1 species